AUACCUACCUGGCGUCGGGAUACCGUGUUCAUGCAGGCGGUUCCCCCGGGGUGCGGCUGCUCCAUUGCGCUGCGGAGUGGUUGACCCUUGCGAUUAUAUUUAUAAUUCAUAAGAUUCACUUCUAUCGUGUGUGAGACGUGAGUCGCACACACACUUUUUUUUA